rnacentral:rRNA from 1 species
AAUCUUCGGCAAUGGUCGCAAGGCUGACCGAGCGACGCCGCGUGCUCUAUGAUGGCCUUCGGGCUGUAAAGCACUUUUGAGGGGGAGAAAUCCUCCAGGUUGAUCGACCCCCGGUGGAAGCAAGGGCUAUGUUCGUCCCAGCCGCCGCGGUAAGACGAACCGUGCGAACGUUGUUCGGAAUCCCUGGGCUUAAGGUGCGUGUAGGCGGGCUGGCAAGUCAGAGGUGAAAGCCUGCGGCUCAACCGCAGAAGUGCCCUUGAUACUGUCGGUCUCGAGGGAGGUAGGGGCAUGUGGAACUUCCGGUGGAGCGGUGAAAUGCGUAGAUAUCGGAAGGAACGCCGGUGGCGAAAGCGACGUGCUGGACCUCUACUGACGCUGAGGCGCGAAAGCCAGGGGAGCAAACGGG